UAUCUUUAAGUGUUAAGCACGUAAACUUUUGAUGUUUAAAGAAGAAGAAUCUCUAAGGAUAA
rnacentral:tRNA from 1 species